rnacentral:tRNA from 1 species
GGGGCCGUAGUCUAGCCUGGUAGGAUGCGGGCCUGGGGCGCCCGUGGUCCGGGGUUCAAAUCCCCGCGGCCCCACCA